GAUGAACGCUGGCGGCGUGCUUAACACAUGCAAGUCGAACGGAAAGGCCACAGCUUGCUGUGGUACUCGAGUGGCGAACGGGUGAGUAACACGUGGGUGAUCUGCCCUGGACUGUGGGAUAAGGUUGGGAAACUGGGUCUAAUACCGGAUAGGAAUCACAUGUGGGUGUGUGGUUGGAAAGCUUUUGCGGUAUGGGAGGAGUUCGCGGCCUAUCAGCUUGUUGGUGGGGUAAUGGCCUACCAAGGCGUCGACGGGUAGCCGGCCUGAGAGGGUGUACGGCCACAUUGGGACUGAGAUACGACCCAGACUCCUACGGGAGGCAGCAGUGGGGAAUAUUGCACAAUGGGCGCAAGCCUGAUGCAGCGACGCCGCGUGGGGGAUGACGGCCUUCGGGUUGUAAACUCCUUUCGUCAGGGACGAAGCGAAAGUGACGGUACCUGGAUAAUAAGCACCGGCUAACUACGUG
rnacentral:rRNA from 1 species